CAUGUGUUUGAGUAGUUAGCUUGAUGGUAAGCAGACAACGGCAAAAGGAAGAGAAAACAGCGUGGUGCGAUAUUAAAACAUGGAUAAAUAAAARGCUAAAGGUUUAGUACCAGUUGAGAAGGAGGAACAAGUUCUUACGUUGGUUGAAGGAUGGAAAUAUGCUACGAAAGUUAAAAUUAAAGACACGUUAACCAUCGUAAGGCUCAUCUUUGCUCUACUGGCUGCCACACUUGUAUUACUGUACACCUUAGACAGACAGCUGCGAGCAACGUCAGGCCAUUUUCUGGAGGAAAACAGGUGGGGAACAGAGGCUGGAGGACGUAGUUGGAGAACGUCAG